rnacentral:rRNA from 1 species
CGCCUGGGGAGUGCGGUCGCAAGAUCAAAACUCAAAUGAAUUGACGGGGGCCCGCACGAGCGGUGGAGCAUGUGGUUUAAUUCGAUGCAACGCGAAGAACCUUACCUACUCUUGACAUCCAGAGAAUCCAGCGGAGACGCAGGAGUGCCUUCGGGAGCUCUGAGACAGGUGCUGCAUGGCUGUCGUCAGCUCGUGUUGUGAAAUGUUGGGUUAAGUCCCGCAACGAGCGCAACCCUUAUCCUUGUUUGCCAGCACGUAAUAUGGGAACUCCAGGGAGACUGCCGGUGAUAAACCGGAGGAAGGUGGGGACGACGUCAAGUCAUCAUGGCCCUUACGAGUAGGGCUACACACGUGCUACAAUGGCGCAUACAGAGGGCAGCGAGCCAGCGAUGGUAAGCGAAUCCCAAAAAGUGCGUCGUAGUCCGGAUUGGAGUCUGCAACUCGACUCCAUGAAGUCGGAAUCGCUAGUAAUCGUGAAUCAGAAUGUCACGGUGAAUACGUUCCCGGGCCUUGAACACACCGCCCGUC